rnacentral:rRNA from 1 species
UACGGAGGGUGCAAGCGUUGUCCGGAAUCACUGGGCGUAAAGGGCGCGUAGGCGGCUCAUGAAGGCUGUGGUGAAAGUCCGGGGCUCAACCUCGGAUCGGCCGUGGCGACUCGUGGGCUGGAGCACUGUAGAGGCGGGUGGAAUUCCGCGUGUAGCAGUGAAAUGCGUAGAUAUGCGGAGGAACACCGAUGGCGAAGGCAAUCCCCGUGGGCCUGCACUGACGCUCAUGCACGAAAGCGUGGGGAGCAAAC